rnacentral:lncRNA from 1 species
UUUUUUUUUUUUUUUUGGUUAAAGAGGACAGCCCUCAUCGUUAUUAUUCAUCGUUAUUAUUGUUGUUACUUAUCAAAUGUUUGUCAGAACAUCUUUAAGAUAAAAAUGUCAACAACAUUCAUGCUACAUAUUUUUUCUUGGAUUUCUUUCUAAAUUUAACAGAAUAUUGUAUAAUACCUUAAAACUUGAAAUUUAUAAUCUCAGCAAAAACUUACCUAUUCUACUUUGGCCAUAUAUUGCUUUCUAGGAAGAAAUGGAUGUGCAAUUUGAAAAUUUCCCAAAAUGGCUCGACUCCUUCUUGCAAAGGACCUUUUUUGGAUCUUGCUUGAACCAUGAGCUGCAAAAGAAUGAAUUGAAUAGGUACUGCAUCACUUGUGAUCUAGAUGCUUGCAGGUAUUGUAUCUCAUCUGGUCUACAUAACGAACACACGCUACUCAAAAUACAUCGGCAUGUCUACAAAGAUGUUGUCCCCUUGGAUGAGAUGGAGACUCAUAUGGAUUGCACCAAGAUCCAGGUAGUUUGAAUUAAUUUUAAAAGUAAUAGACAUAUGAACUAUAUUAGUUUUCAUUUUUGGUUCCAUGAAAAAUGUGAAUUAUAAGGCUUUCAAUUUUCAACCUUGUCCAAGUAGCUUUUCGGGCCAAUAGGUCUAUGGAAAAUUUAUAUCUCAUCUAUGCUUUUGAUCUUGCCUUAUUUUUCUCUUGUAUUUAGAAAGACCUUCAUUCUACUUAUAUAAAUUGCUCUACCCUCAUAUCCAAAAGUUGGAUGAUCUAUAAGAUAUACAAUUUUUAUUUUGAAAGACAACUAAUUUCUUUUCGUUAUAAAGAAUUUAGUCCUAGAACUUUUCAGGGCAAAAAAUCUGAAUUGCAUUCAAACUAUUAAGUUGAUCAACUUUUAACCCUUCAACAAUUAAGUAUAUAUUUUUACCCUCGAACUAGUAAAAUGUUAUAUUCCCCACCCUUUUGGCUAGAGACAAUUUUGAAAAUUUCCUCAAGAUUUAUGUUAAUAUUACUUGGCACAUUUAGAGUUUCAAAAAUAUCACUAAUCUCACCUAAAACUGUACCUUUUGUAACAAUCUCACCUUGUAUCAUUAAUAAGAGAGAUGUAUUUUCCUCCCAAUUCUACCUUUCUAUAUUGUCUUAUGCCGAAUUUUCUACCAAAUUGAUUAUAAUAUCAGAUGUUUUGCCUAAAAAUUUUCUUUUCUGUAAUAUUUUGCCUAAAAAUUGUUAAAGUAGUGAAGAUAGUUUUGUGAAUUCUCGUGCUAUGAUAGUGAUUAAUAAUCCCAUCUCAUUGAUAUGGUAGUUGAGUGAUAUUCUUGAAACUUCAAAGGUGUUAAGAGAUAUUGUCAUAAAUCUCGGGGGAGGUUUCUGAAAUUAUCUCUAGCCAAAAGAGUGAAAAUUAUAUCCUUUUAUAAGUUCGAGGGGGUAAUAAUAUGCACUUCAUAGUUGAAGGGCUAAAAGUCAACUAAUUAUAUAAUUUGAGAGCCAUUUAGAUUAAUUGUCUAAUUUUUUAUUUCUUGCAAUUAUUUAUCCAAGAACUAUGGUUUUACACCACUCUAGUCUUUUAGUAGUUGUUUUGACCAAAUCUUGUAUUUUUGACACUACUGACUACUAAGUAAGGGGGCAUGUUUGAAUAUAUUUAGCCUCACAUAGUCACAUGACAUCAAACAUGUUAAAUUUAUAUUAGUAUCUAAGUAAGUAUCAAAAGAUUGGAUUUUGAAUGCCUCAAAAUCUCCAAUUCAAUUCGUUUUAAGUAGAAAUACUCUCUAAAAUUUUGCUUAAUGUCUAGUUUGAUUCAAACUGCUUGUUUCAAACUGCAUACUUUUAAUCAAAUGUCUAAUUUGUUUCUAAUUAUACUCAAAAUAAAAAAUACUAUAGUUGGUAAAUUUCUCAAGGUUCUCAGAAGUUGCUCAAGAUAGAUUCAUUUAUGUUUGUUCUUCAUUUUGGAAACUUCAUCUGGUCUAAAUUAACAUAAGGUACUCCAUCUAAACAAACAUACGGUUAAUGUACCAUAACAAUUUGGUUGGAAUGGUGCCUACUCCACUGUAUAACAACCUUUGAAACACAAGUUUAGCUACUUAUUUUAAGUAUCCUAAUAUUUUUUUGAAAUUGCCAUGAUUUUACUAAUGGUAUUGAAUUAGCUCUAAUUCACUGGCUUUCACCUAACUUUAAAUAUCUCUAUAGGCAUUGUAUGAUUUCAUAAGGGAAAUUGUAUUCCAAAAUUCCUAGUACAAUCAUUUCUAGAUUUAUAACUUUGACUUCGAGCCUAGUUUUUGAAACUUAUAUCAUUUGGCCUUGAUUUUGAUGAAACAUUCAUGCUCUUGGCCUAUUCAUAGGGAGACCUCUCUCUUGUUAGUUUUCUUCUACAAAGUUUGUUAAAAAAUUUUUAUAAGAAAACUUAUAUCUAUCCCAAUCUUUUAAAAUUGUUUGGUUUACUUUCAUUUGCCUUCACUUGAAAAAGUACUUCAAUUAUGAUUAUUAUUUAGCUCUAGAGAGAAUUCAAUUUGAGGUCAUCACUCACCUAGAAAAUUCUUAGUUGUUCAAAAGGACUGAAUUAUACUUUAUUUUUAUUAUCUGUUUGGGUGUUCAAUUUUCUGAUAUAAAAUCAAGACAAUGUGAAAAUUUGUUUUGUUUUUUUGCUAUUGCUUAAAAGGUAUCAUAGUAGGAUGAUAAUGAGUCAAAGAGAUAAAAUUGCAUUAUGAAACUUUCUUUUCUAUUCUUGAAGAUAUUAAAUCAAUAUUCAUGGCAAAGAUUAGUUUGAGUUUUCAUUAAUGUGACAUUAUUUAAAAUAUUUCUUUGCAUUUUAAACUAGUUGUUAUAUGACAAAAAUGUUUUUAGAAAAAGAAAAAUAAUGAUGGCAUACCCAUAAUUUUAAUUAAGAAAAAGGUAUUCUACAAAUACACUUUUGUGAAACUUAACAAGUAACCUAUAUAUAUAUAUGUCUCGUCAGUAGGAUUUGUGGAGUUUCUUUGUUUGUCAAACAAAGAACUUUUCUCAGUUAGUUUUGAAAAUUUUGAAAGUAAAAUACAAUUCCACUAUUCUAUAUUUACUUUUAAUGCAUAUAAAAGUUUUACAUCAAAAUUAUUUUUAAAUAAGUACUAUAUCAGUUUUGGAUAAAAUCUUAAAUGGCCAAGACACCAUGUCUUUUUAAAAUUAUAAACAUGAUGUCUUCAAUGUAUAUAUGAAAUCCAUUAAAAGGUAUAUUGUGAAAAAUUAAAUGAAGUACCUAUCUUCGUCUUGUUCACAACCUAUAUCCGGACAGUUUGUUUAAAAUUUAAUGCCCUUAUAUUCACAAUUUUGGACUUCUUAAUCAUUUUAAUACUAAAAAGAUGAAAAUUCUGUGAAUGUGGUGUGAAUAUGAAUUAAUUUGUCACCCCAAAUGAAAUUAUUAUCUUUUCAAGUCAGAUCAAGGUGUAGAACAAAUAUAUUAGAUCAAAAUCUAUGGACCUGGAUUUUUUGAGUUUUUGGUCGACUAAGCGAAAUACCUUUAACAGCAAAUUCAAGGUAUUUUUAUCAAAUCUAAAAUAAUCUUGUUGUAGCCUCAUGUUGAACUCAACUUAGGGCUGCUAGCAAUCUAAAAAAUCAUAAGUAGAAGAAAGACAAAACUCUCUACUAGCUAUCAAGAAAAUAUGUACAAAUGAUUACAUAUCUUUGCAUGGUGAUGGCAAUAAAUAAAACUAAUAUACAUCCACUAUCAUAUUUACAAUGAUAUAUCAUACUUAUAGUAAUGAGUUCUAAGGAUAGCUUGUUUUGUAGCAAUAAAUCACAUUCAUGCUUUGGCAAGUGAGUUUUUUGGGUGUUUGUCUAAAACUUUACUGUAGCUUACAGUAGAAGUUUUUUAAAAAAAUUUUGAAGUGUGUUUUUUUUUAAUAUUUUAAAGUGUAUAGUUUAAAAUUUUUGAAAAAUUUUUUGAGGUUACUGUAGCUAAAGUUUUUUAAAAACUUGUAGCAGACAAACUUGGCAAAAAACAUGGCUGCCAAACAAGGCGCCCUUAUCUUACUUUUUCUCUUAUGCUGAUGAAAUUUUUUUGAUUUUUGAUUUUUCCAAUUCAGCCAUACAAAUGCAACAAAAAAUGGGUUGUUGCUUUGAAUCCUCUUCCGCACUGUGGUUCAGGUGCACAAAUUGAGGGAGAUGUAUCAUGUGAUGUGUGUAAGAGAAGAUUGAAUGACCCUGAUCAGUAUCGCUAUUGUUGUAUUGCCUGUAAGGUAGAAUAGACUAGAAAUCAAUUCUUCUGUAAGUUUUCACAUUGUUUUGUAUUUUUUUUAAGGUUGCAUCAUUAUGGUAACACAUCUCUUAGUUCCUUUUGUUAAAGGAUAAAAAAUUCUAUUAUGUGAAUACAUGAUUUUGAAUCCUGCAAUGUGCUGCUAAAUGGGAGAGUGGUAGGGAGAUUUCUAUAGUUCAAAUUUUCCAAUCAAUUUCAUUUGCAAGUAUAAAAAAAAUUAAAAAGUUCAAAACCAUAGGUAUACUUUUUACUUUUGCAUGUCUAAUGGCAUUACUAUUCUACAAAAUGAAACUAACAUAAAUAGUAAAAUGAUUUAAAUUAUGUUCUAUACAAAAAAGUAGCAAGUGAUAUACAUAUUUUGGUAUUUUUAAGAUUUUUUUUGGUGCUUACAAAAUAACUUGUUGGACAAAUUCAAAACUUCAAUUCGCCCAUCUCUCAAUUAUGCUAAACUAACUCUUGGAGUACUUAGAUAAAUAGGUGGAUUUAAUUCUAGGGAUUGGUAUAUAAGUGCAAUGCAUCUCUUUCAUAUGUAGAAUAUUUUGCAAGUAUGAGAAAUUGACUUCCCUUACUACAUACUCCCUCCAUCCACUAUCACUACCAUGGCCUUAUAGUCAUUUUGGACCAUAAGAGAUAAUUUUAAAAAAAUAAAGGAAAGACUAUAGUAAUUCUCUACUUAUAAGCAUACAUUUUCUCCUUGUUCUAUCAUAAACUAUCUUUAUAAUAUUACUUUAGGAUCAUCAUAUUUAUCAGGUUAUAUUACUAUAAAACAUGCUAAAAUGAGGGUUUUAGAAAAGAAGAAUGGUGAAGUAGAGACAUGGAUGAGAUAUUGAGACUUUAGGAGUGGGCUUGCAAAAUAUAAAAAUAGAACAAUAUAGGAAUAGGCUAAUCUAUCUAUGUUGGCUACAAAUAGGUGCUGACAUUCUAGUAAGUAACAUAAAGAGGAUGUUUUCAUAAGGGGACUUUCAGUAUCGUCACCAUAUAAGGGUGAUUUAGACCCAAGAUUCAAGAGUUAGUGGUUGAAAAGGUAACUUAUGUGAUUUGGCAUCGAGAAAGGGCUUUUGAGAGAGUGGGAAAUAGAUGUAGAUUAGAAUCUAAGGAUGAUUGUAAUGAAAGAUAUAAGAGGUAGGAGUAUGAAAGACAACUUGUGAUAUGGCAUUGUUGAAUAGAGGAGUUUAAAAGGAUGAAAAAUGUGUUUAAGUUAGAGUACAUAAGAAAAUCAAUGAAAUAUCAAUUGGAUUAGAUGUACCUUUUAAAUAUUAAUGGGCAAAAAAAAAAAAAUUUUUUUGGUUUAGUCUAAGCAAAUUUUAUCAUAUUAAUAUUCCAAGGUAGUGUAAAGCCAUGAUUCAAGUUGUUGGUGUUACUUGGAAUUGAGUGAAAGUUCAAAGAAUACAUGGCAAUUAAUGACUCUUUACUCCAUAUGUUGUUGCUUUACAUUGUACCAUCCUUUUCUUAUUUAGUCGGAAUUUAAAGACUCAUCGUGAUUAUGCAUUCUUAUUUCUUUUCACUUGAAUAUCUAUAGGUGGAAGCAUUUUCAAGGAAGAGAAAAGAGAUGGAGGGUUCAUCACUAGAGUGUACAAUUGUUGAAAGGCCAAAGCGCAGAAGAAAGGGAGUCCCUCAAAGAGCUCAUUUUUAUUAGGUCUGGACUGCAUGUACCAUCUACUGAUUCAUGCUUUAGACAUAAUAUCUACCAAUCCAAUUCAACAUUACUGUUGCCUUGUGAGCUUCAAUUUUCACCAGCAUAAGUGGAAAAGUUUGUGACUAAUUCGAUCCAACUACUUUGGAUUUUGGUUCAACUUUUAUUUUAUUGAACUUAGUUGUAUGGGAUAAUUUGGUCACAAUUUGAAUUUUUUGAUGGUUGAUGCUGUUAAUUGACAAUUUGAGGUUGUCUUGUGGUAAACUUAUUAGGACUUAAAGUAGAAAUUGGUUCAUAAGUUUUCAUGGGUUCUUUUUAUGGAUUAAGUUCAAAUGAUAGUAGACUUGGUUGUCUUGGAAUCAGCCUUCCUCUUUGAUUAGCCCCCAUUCAUAGGCAGCAUCAUACUAUUCAUGACUUGGGAUCCGAUAACAUAUCAUGAGCUUAUAUUUAACCUUAAAAUUCAAAAAACAGGUGACAAUAGCGUUUCUUAUCUGAAACCAUACAAGUUCUUUUAUUUUUUGUUUGGAUGCAGAUAAUAUAGUUGUGUAACAACUAUAUUGUCUGUGGAGCCAGUAGCUCAAUCAGGCGAAGUUUUUCCUCUUUUUUAUGUGUAUCAUAUAAAUGUUUUCAAAAGUUGCAAUAGGGUAGUAAUAUUGGAAAAUUAUCUCAUUGAAGAAUGGGUUUUAAUAUUAUUGUUUAAUAUUUUUUGUUACAAUAAGAAUAAAUUUAUCAUAAUUCACACUAAACAAAUUUUAGAAUUUUUUGCCAAAAUAACUAUCUUUCUAAAAAAUAUUCUCAAUGUAAUUCACUUUCAAAUUUUAUUUCGAUAAUGAUGUUGCUAUUGCCACCUAAUUAUCCUAACUGCUACGCAGAAUAAUAGGAAAGGAAAUGUUUCAAAUUUUAUUCUCACGUUAAUCUAUUUAUUUCCACAUAGAUUCCCAAAUUAAAAGGAAAAUGACCAUGCGUAAAAUUUAUUCGAUAUAUCCAAUCUACUAAAAAUUGUACUCUUGUUUUCUACUACCACCAUUGUAUCUCUUAGAAUUGUGCUUAACUACUAUAUUGCAAUUCUUUUCUUUUUUUUCUUGCAAUUUGUAAUUAUAUCUAUGAUAAAGUUCUAAAUCUAUUCAUUUUAGUAUUUUGUAGUAUUUUAUAUUAGAACACAUGCACAUAAAUUCUGGACAAAAAAAUGAUCAAAAUUUAAUUUGACAUAAAAGAAUUCCAUGUCAAAAGCAAAAGGAAGUGAAGAAAAAUCUCUUGCAUUCGAAAACCAUGAUUACUAGCAUAUGAAUUUAGCCUUGACAAUAUCAAGAAUAACAUAAUAUAAGAGUCAAGGAUUGUUAACCACUGAUCUUUGGAAAACAAGCAUUGUGUUUUGAGAAAAAGUGAACUGUCUUUCUUGUUCAUUCAUUAAAAAUAAAAAGAACGAUUAAUGUAAUGAGGAGGGAUCAUAAUGAAAAAAAUGGAAAAUAUAACAUUUCGAGUCCGUUUGUUUCGGGUGAAAAUGUUUUCCAGGAAAAUAUUUUCCUAAUUUCCCGUGUUUGGUUGCACAAAAGUUACUGAAAACAUUUUCCUAUGUAAAAUAUUUUCACUCAUCUUAUGGAAAACAACUUCCCUUCCAAACUUACUGAAGUUGUUUUCCGAAAUGCAUGCAUCCCGCUGUAGUAUGUUCCAAACUUACUGAAAACAUCUUGUAGUAUGUUCUUUUUUUUUUUUAGUGUAAACAGGAGGACUCGAAUCCAAGAUCUCUUCCUUACACUCCCUCCCCGUACCACCCAACCCAACCCAACCCAACCCUCCCCCUAGUAUAUUCAAAAUAAAAAAAAAAAAUCUCAUCCUGCUCAUCCUAUGCUAGUAAUUAAUUAUGUAUAAUAAGGACAUUCUUUUCUAGAGAAACUUUCAGCAGUGAGAGUGCAAGAUAUAUGUCACAAUAAGCAUUACAUGUGAUUGAUAUUUGACACUAAAUGGCCAGCAAUUUGUUUAUUGCUUAAGGAGAUAUUUUUUUAUUCAUAUAUACAUUUCUCCAAGAUUUUUUAAAGUUAAACAAUGAGAUAAAUUUUCUUAUUUUGCAUGGGAAGAAGUAUGUAGUUAUAAUGUGUAAAAAGUAAAGAUAUAGAUAAAAGUGAAAAUAUUUCAAAAGUUAAACAAACACCAGAAAAAUGAAGUAAGAAAAUAUUUUCAAUAAGCUAACCAAACACCUGAAAAUGAUGAAAGGGAAAUGAUUUUCAUGGAAAAUUACUUCCACGGAAAAUAUUUUCCCAAGGAAAACAUUUUACUUCCAACCAAACAGACCCUUCGUGGGAUUAGUUUUCCUUUCUGGGCGUGUACAUUGCAAUAUAUACACUAGACAUGGAAUAAAGUUAUUAGUUGUAUUAGUUUGGGAAUAUUUUAUGAAUAGAAGAUUUUUUGGUUAAAAACUUCAAUUUUUAAGGGUUUGUCUAACAAAUGUGCAAUAUAGACUUUAGGUGUUCAUAUUUUGGAAACGAAAUGUGGGGAAAGUGUAUAAAUGUAAGGAAAGAUAAUAAUUAUUAAUUUGUACAUUCAUAUGAUAAAUUAUGUAUGAUUUUAGUGUAUUAAAAAGUGGUAAGUUAGGUGUGAUUUAGGUGUAGUUACAAAUGCCCAUUAGCCACCCGUUGGGGAAAUCCAAUUUUUAGAAUAAAGUUUACGAAAACUUAAAACACAAGAUGAUGUAAUACUGGACUGUCCACAGGCAUAGUUAUAAAAUUCGACCCGAUUCGACGGUCAAACCAGUUAAUUAGGUGAACCGGCCAUAAGACUGGGAUGAGUUGUUAAUUAAAUCAGCUAAACAACAAAUCCAUUGACCUGUUAACAAUCUAGUGAUUCAAUCGGUAAAUAAAAAAAAUCGUCAAUUGAAUCGCAGGUUGAACCACUAACUUAAAAAUUUUACUACUUUUAUAAUUUAAAAUAUAUUAUUACAUUAUGUAAGAUAACUAUUGUGCAACCUGCAGUUAAACUGCUUAACCCGCAAUUAAACCAAUGAUCCGAUGAUCCAGUCUCCUCUCCGGGUUGAGCUCCGAAUGGCGUUUAAUAAUUACUAGUUUUUGGGCCCUGCACCAAGCGCAGGGUAGCCUGUGUUGGGGGUGAUGGAUUUUGUUAUGUGAUUGGGAGGAUUUUGUUGAUGGAAAGACCAAGACACCCGGCCCCACGAAGUCAAAGUCAUCAGAAUUACCAUCGAAACCGGCCCCACGAAGUCAUCAAAAUUACCGUCGAAACCGACCCAUGACUGCACUGUAGCUAUUCCCCCUUCCCCCUUUUAUAUAUUUAAGAUGUUCACAGGUUUUCAGUGAAUUGUUUGCUUGAUUUUCUAGGCCUUUACUCAAUAAAAUUAACUUGCAUAAUCACAACAUUAUAUAAGAGCAAUAAAAAAUGGAAACAAGAACCUGUAUUCAAACAAGUUUUGCAAUUCUUUCUCUUUUUCUUAUCCUGUAUUUCUUUUCAUUUUAUGCACCUUGUUACACAGGAUGUAACAAAUGCUAAUACAAAAAGUUUUUGCAACCCGUGAGAAUGACACGAUGAAUGCGAGCGACUGUAUAUUCGUGAACUUCUUUCGUGAACUUCUCUUCUGUAGGACAUCUCAACCAGACUAGAGGAAAAAAACAUACCAGUACACAACGUCAUUUCAUUAUUUUCCAUUGCAAUGGCAGAUGUAAAAGGUACAAAAGAAAUUCGCAAAUAUUACAAUUUCUGCAGCCUGCAAGCAAGCAGCCAAAAAAUAAGAUAGAUACAUUAGUAACAAAUUUGGAGCAAUUGCUCGAGUUUGCAACCCUAGCAUAAAUAUUCUUCGAGAUUUAACUCUUCUGAUGAACAGCAACAUGGUGUACGUCCAUAUCCUUCAACA